rnacentral:rRNA from 1 species
GGCGAAUCGAUUAGCGGCGCGAAUCGCCCUUAGAGUUUGAUUAUGGCUCAGGAUGAACGCUGGCGGCGUGCUUAACACAUGCAAGUCGAACGAAGCAACUCUCUUGCUUGCAAGAGAGUUGACUUAGUGGCGGACGGGUGAGUAACGCGUGGGUAACCUGCCUCAUACAGGGGGAUAACAGUUGGAAACGACUGCUAAGACCGCAUAACCCGCUAGUGUCGCAUGACACGGACGGAAAAUAUUUAUUAGGUAUGAGAUGGGCCCCGCGUCUGAUUAGCUAGUUGGUAAGGUAACGGGCUUACCAAGGCGAUGAUCAGUAGCCGGACUUGAGAAGAGUGAUCGGCCACAUUGGGACUGAGACACGGCCCAAGCUCCUACGGGAGGCAGCAGUGGGGAAUAUUGGACAAUGGGGGAAACCCUGAUCCAGCGACGCCGCGUGAGUGAAGAAGUAUUUCGGUAUGUAAAGCUCUAUCAGCAGGGAAGAUAAUGACAGUACCUGACUAAGAAGCCCCGGCUAACUACGUGCCAGCAGCCGCGGUAAUACGUAGGGGGCAAGCGUUAUCCGGAUUUACUGGGUGUAAAGGGAGCGUAGGUGGCAUGGCAAGUCAGAAGUGAAAGCCCAGGGCUCAACCCUGGGACUGCUUUUGAAACUGUCAAGCUAGAGUGCAGGAGAGGUAAGUGGAAUUCCUAGUGUAGCGGUGAAAUGCGUAGAUAUUAGGAGGAACACCAGUGGCGAAGGCGGCUUACUGGACUGUAACUGACACUGAGGCUCGAAAGCGUGGGGAGCAAACAGGAUUAGAUACACUGGUAGUCCACGCCGUAAACGAUGAAUACUAGGUGUCUGGGAUUCGAUUCUCAGGUGCCGACGCUAACGCAUUAAGUAUUCCACCUGGGGAGUACGUUCGCAAGAAUGAAACUUAAAUGGAUUGACGGAAGGGCGAUUCGUUAACCGCA